rnacentral:rRNA from 1 species
CCGUAGGGAAACCGAGUUUUAACUGAGCGAAUAAGUCGCUGGGAGCAGACCCGAAACCUGAUGAUCUAGUCAUGGGCAGGAUGAAGGUAAGGUAACACUUACUGGAGGUCCGAACCCACUAACGUUGCAAAGUUAGGGGAUGACCUGUGACUAGGGGUGAAAGGCCAAUCAAAUCAGGUGAUAUCUGGUUCUCCCCGAAAGCUAUUUAGGUAGCGCCUCAAUUGAUGAUUACAGGGGGUAGAGCACUGUUUCGGUAAGGGGCCCAUCCCGGGUUGCCGAGUCGAUGCAAACUCCGAAUACCUGUAAGUGAAGAUUGGGAGACAGACAGCGGGUGCUAAGGUCCGUUGUCGAGAGGAAAAGAGUCCGGACCGCCAGCUAAGGUCCCCAAGUACAGAUUAAGUGGGAAACGAUGUGGGAAGGCAUAGACAGCUAGGAUGUUGGCUUAGAAGCAGCCAUCAUUAAAAGAAAGCGUAAUAGCUCACUAGUCGAGUCGGCCUGCGCGGAAGAUGUAACGGGGCUAAAUCUGUCACCGAAGCUGCGGAUUCAUUCGUAAGAAUGAGUGGUAGGGGAGCGUUCUGUAAGGUGAAGAAGGUGUACUGGAAGGUAUGCUGGAGCUAUCAGAAGUGCGAAUGCUGACGUGAGUAACGAUAAUACGGGUGAAAAACCCGUACGCCGAAAGACCAAGGUUUUCUGUCCAACGUUAAUCGGGGCAGAGUGAGUCGGAUCCUAAUGAUAAACUGAAAAGUGAGGCAGAUGGGAAAUCGGUUAAUAUUCCGAUACUUUAUAUGACUGCGAUGGAGGGACGAAGAAGGUUAGGCACGCAUACUGUUGGAUGUAUGUGAAAGGGUGUAGUUCCGCUGUGUACGAAGAGAAGGCAUGGCGAAGGAUGAGACCUGAGAGGAGGGAACUACGGUUCCUGAAGGUGUUGAUACCCUGCUUCCUGGAAAAUCUUCUAAGCUAUAGGUCAUAUAAAACCGUACCCCAAACCGACACAGGUGGUCGGGUAGAGAAUACCAAGGCGCUUGAGAGAACUCGGGUGAAGGAACUAGGCAAAAUAGUACCGUAACUUCGGGAGAAGGUACGCCGAUGGUUGUUAGCCGUCACGCACGGUAAAGCAAUAAUCGGUCACAGAAACCAGGUGGCUGGGACUGUUUAACAAAAACACAGCACACUGCAAACACGAAAGUGGACGUAUAGUGUGUGACACCUGCCCGGUGCCGGAAGGUUAAAUGAUGAAGUUAUCGCAAGAGAAGCUUCUGAUUGAAGCCCCGGUAAACGGCGGCCGUAACUAUAACGGUCCUAAGGUAGCGAAAUUCCUUGUCGGGCAAGUUCCGACCUGCACGAAUGGUGUAACCAUGGCCACGCUGUCUCCACCCGAGACUCAGUGAAAUCGAAAUCGCUGUGAAGAUGCAGUGUACCCGCGGCUAGACGGAAAGACCCCGUGAACCUUUACUAUAGCUUGACACUGAACAUUGAGUCUGUCUGUGUAGGAUAGAUGGGAGACUAAGAAGCAUGUACGCCAGUAUGUGUGGAGUCGUUGUUGAAAUACCAUUCUGACAUGCUUGAUGUUCUAACCCUGCGGGGGACAGUGUCUGGUGGGUAGUUUGACUGGGGCGGUCUCCUCCUAAAGGAUAACGGAGGAGCACGAAGGUUGGCUAAUCACGGUCGGACAUCGUGAGGUUAGUGUAAUGGCACAAGCCAGCUUGACUGCGAGACAGACGAGUCGAGCAGAUGCGAAAGCAGGUCAUAGUGAUCCGGUGGUUCUGAAUGGAAGGGCCAUCGCUCAACGGAUAAAAGGUACUCUGGGGAUAACAGGCUGAUACCGCCCAAGAGUUCAUAUCGACGGCGGUGUUUGGCACCUCGAUGUCGGCUCAUCACAUCCUGGGGCUGUAGCAGGUCCCAAGGGUAUGGCUGUUCGCCAUUUAAAGUGGUACGCGAGCUGGGUUCAAAACGUCGUGAGACAGUUUGGUCCCUAUCUGCCGUGGGCGUAGGAAGAUUGAGAGGACUUGCUCCUAGUACGAGAGGACCGGAGUGAACGAACCUCUGGUGUACGGGUUGUCAUGCCAAUGGCACUGCCCGGUAGCUAAGUUCGGAAUCGAUAACCGCUGAAAGCAUCUAAGCGGGAAGCGAGCCUCAAGAUAAGUCUUGCCAAAUAUAGUUUGUAAGGGCCGUUCGAGACCAGGACGUUGAUAGGUGUGAGGUGGAAGAGUCGGAGAGACUUGUAGCUGACACAUACUAAUUACCCGAGAGUCUUAACUAU